rnacentral:rRNA from 1 species
AUUGAACGCUGGCGGCAGGCCUAACACAUGCAAGUCGGGCGAGCGGCGGACGGGUGAGUAAUGUAUGGGGAUCUGCCUGAUGGCGGGGGAUAACUACUGGAAACGGUAGCUAAUACCGCAUACCAUCAGAUGAACCCAUAUGGGAUUAGCUAGUAGGUGAGGUAACGGCUGACCUAGGCGACGCUCCCUAGCUGGUCUGAGAGGAUGAACAGACAGACUGGGACGGAGAGACGGCCCAGACUCCUACGGGAGGCAGCAGUGGGAAAUAUUGCACAAUGGGAGCAAGCCUGAUGCAGCGACGCCGCGUGGGGGAUGAAGGCUUUCGGGUUGUAAACCUAGUUGGCAAUCGAACGGGUAGGUGGAGAAGAAGCGCCGGCUAACUACGUGCCAGCAGCCGCGGUAAUAC